rnacentral:rRNA from 1 species
CUCUUCGGGGAUGAUUAACCGGCGCACGGGUGAGUAACACGUGAGUGACCUGCCUUUUAGACUGGAACAACUUACCGAAAGGUGAGCUAAUGCCGGAUGAGUUAUAUAAGUGCAUGUUUAUAUAGGAAAAGUUGGGGAGACCUGACGCUGAAAGAUGGACUCGCGUCCCAUUAGCUAGUUGGUAGGGUAAUGGCCUGCCAAGGCGACGAUGGGUAGCCGGCCUGAGAGGGUGGCCGGCCACACUGGGACUGAGACACGGCCCAGACUCCUACGGGAGGCAGCAGUGGGGAAUUUUGCGCAAUGCUCGUAAAAGUGACGCACCGACCCCGCGUGAAUGACAAAGGCCUUCAGGUCGUAAAGUUCUUUCGACAGGGAAAAAAAUGCCUAUAAGUAACUGUGUAUGUAUUGACGGUACCUGUAUAAGCAGCCCCGGCUAACUCCGUGCCAGCAGCCGCGGUAAUACGGAGGGGGCGAGCGUUGUUCGGAGUGACUGGGCGUAAAGAGCACGUAGGCGGUGUUGUAAGUCCUUAGUCAAAGACUAGAGCUCAACUUUAGUAAGGCUAGUGAUACUAUAAUACUAGAGUAUCAAAGAGGAUUGCAAAAUUCCUGGUGUAGCGGUGAAAUGCGUAGAUAUCAGGAGGAAUACCGUUAGCGAAGGCGGCAAUCUGGCUGGAAACUGA